UCUUCCCUCUGGCGGCGUGCCUAAUACAUGCAAGUCGAGCGAACGGACGAGAAGCUUGCUUCUCUGAUGUUAGCGGCGGACGGGUGAGUAACACGUGGAUAACCUACCUAUAAGACUGGGAUAACUUCGGGAAACCGGAGCUAAUACCGGAUGAUAUUUUGAACCGCAUGGUUCAAAAGUGAAAGACGGUCUUGCUGUCACUUAUAGAUGGAUCCGCGCUGCAUUAGCUAGUUGGUAAUGUAACGGCUUACCAAGGCAACGAUGCAUAGCCGACCUGAGAGGGUGAUCGGCCACACUGGAACUGAGACACGGUCCAGACUCCUACGGGAGGCAGCAGUAGGGAAUCUUCCGCAAUGGGCGAAAGCCUGACGGAGCAACGCCGCGUGAGUGAUGAAGGUCUUCGGAUCGUAAAACUCUGUUAUUAGGGAAGAACAUAUGUGUAAGUAACUGUGCACAUCUUGACGGUACCUAAUCAGAAAGCCACGGCUAACUACGUG
rnacentral:rRNA from 1 species